rnacentral:rRNA from 1 species
GCUUAUCAUGCAGUCGAGGGGCAGCAAGGGUAGCAAUACCUGUUUGGCGACCGGCAAACGGGUGCGGAACACGUACAGAACCUUCCUUUAAGCGGGGGAUAGCCCGGAGAAAUCCGGAUUAAUACCCCAUAGUAUUGUUGGGUGGCAUCACUUAAUAAUUAAAGAUUUAUCACUUAAAGAUGGCUGUGCGGCUGAUUAGGUAGUUGGUGCGGGUAACGGCCCACCAAGCCAUCGAUCAGUAACUGGUGUGAGAGCACGACCAGUCACACGGGCACUGAGACACGGGCCCGACUCCUACGGGAGGCAGCAGUAAGGAAUAUUGGUCAAUGGACGCAAGUCUGAACCAGCCAUGCCGCGUGAAGGAUGAAGGCCCUCUGGGUUGUAAACUUCUUUUAUCUGGGAAGAAAUGCAUCUUUUCUAAGGUGUUUGACGGUACCAGAGGAAUAAGCACCGGCUAACUCCGUGCCAGCAGCCGCGGUAAUACGGAGGGUGCAAGCGUUAUCCGGAUUCACUGGGUUUAAAGGGUGCGUAGGUGGGUUGGUAAGUCAGUGGUGAAAUCUCCGUGCUUAACAUGGAAACUGCCAUUGAUACUACUGGUCUUGAAUUUUCCGGAGGUAAGCGGAAUAUGUCAUGUAGCGGUGAAAUGCUUAGAUAUGACAUAGAACACCAAUUGCGAANGCAGCUUACUACAGGAACAUUGACACUGAGGCACGAAAGCGUGGGGAUCAAACAGGAUUANAUACCCUGGUAGUCCACGCCCUAAACCGAUGGAUACUCGACAUUNGCGAUACACAGUAAGUGUCUGAGCGAAAGCAUUAAGUAUCCCACNUGGGAAGUACGACCCCAAGGUUGAANCUCAAGGAAU